rnacentral:rRNA from 1 species
CCUACGGGAGGCAGCAGUGGGGAAUCUUGCGCAAUGGGCGAAAGCCUGACGCAGCCAUGCCGCGUGAAUGAUGAAGGUCUUAGGAUUGUAAAAUUCUUUCACCGGGGACGAUAAUGACGGUACCCGGAGAAGAAGCCCCGGCUAACUUCGUGCCAGCAGCCGCGGUAAUACGAAGGGGGCUAGCGUUGCUCGGAAUUACUGGGCGUAAAGGGAGCGUAGGCGGAUAGUUUAGUCAGAGGUGAAAGCCCAGGGCUCAACCUUGGAAUUGCCUUUGAUACUGGCUAUCUUGAGUAUGGGAGAGGUGUGUGGAACUCCGAGUGUAGAGGUGAAAUUCGUAGAUAUUCGGAAGAACACCAGUGGCGAAGGCGACACACUGGCCCAUUACUGACGCUGAGGCUCGAAAGCGUGGGGAGCAAACAGGAUUAGAUACCCUGGUAGUCCACGCCGUAAACGAUGAGUGCUAGUUGUCGGCAUGCAUGCNUGUCGGUGACGCAGCUAACGACAUAAGUACACUCCGCCGUCGGGGAGGUACGGUCGGCGAAGAAGUUAAACUAACUUAAAUUAGUAAGUUAGUUACGGCGUUGAGACGUGCCGACGGACGACGACGAGGGGAGGAGG